rnacentral:lncRNA from 1 species
UGGGAGGGUCUGCUAAGCUUACCUUAGAUACUAUCGAAAUGACCAAGUAAGCCAUUCCCAAUUAAAAACCACCAGUUGAAAUGUCAAACUUAUCUUAGACACUAAUUGGUUAAUUAGUUUCGAUUUGACCAACCUAAUGAUUCAGGUUCAACCACUGAGCCAUAAUCAAGAUCUAUUUGGUCUAAUCAAAGAUAUGAAUUUGACCAUCUAUAACUAUUGUAUUGAUUUUAGAGAAAUCCUGAUUUAAUCUAAU